AGUAAUUUAAGUUAGAUAAGACUGCUUGUUUUCAAAACAAGAAGCGGUUUGUGAGCCAUUUACUG
rnacentral:tRNA from 1 species